rnacentral:lncRNA from 1 species
CAGACAAGAGAUCACCAUGAGCACGUGGCUCAUCAGUCUAUAAGUUGGUGGACUUCUUUAAUCAGCAACAAUGUUGAUUAAUGGAUCUAGUUGCUCAAUAAUUCCUGACAAUAAAUGACAGUAUAAGUACGACCGUAUAAUAAAUAAAUCAAAUAGACAAAGUUUGUCAAGGCAAAAUAUUGUAUUAUGUGCCUUUUGUGAAUAAAUGAUUUAUUUUGUUGUGUGAUAAAUGACAUGUUGCAUAAAUCAACAAUAUAUUAGGUAUUGCCUAAAUGUGUGUGUAUAUAUAUAUAAUCAUGAAUAAAUGAUUUAUUCAGUUGUUUGAUAAAUGACAUGCUGCAUAAAUCAACAAUAUAUUAAGUAUUGCCUAAAUGUGUGUGUGUAUAUAUAUAAUCAUGAAUAAAUGAUUUAUUCAGUUGUUUGAUAAAUGACAUGCUGCAUAAAUCAACAAUAUAUUAGGUAUUGCCUAAAUGUGUGUGUGUGUGUAUAUAUAUAUAUAUAUAAUCAUGAAUAAAUGAUUUAUUCAGUUGUUUAAUAAAUGACAUGCUGCAUAAAUCAACAAUAUAUUAGGUAUUGCCUAAAUGUGUGUGUGUAUAUAUAUAUAAUCAUGAAUAAAUGAUUUAUUCAGUUGUUUGAUAAAUCACAUGUUGUAUAAAUCAAUAACGUGGUAGUAAUCAUGUGAUAUCAGAAAUAAUAAUUAUAUUAUUUAAUCAUAAGUCAUCAUGACAUAAAAAUAAUAAAAUUAUUAUUUUAUAAUUAGUUAUCAUGACACAAAUAAAAUAAUAAGAUAUUAAAUAAACAAUGAUAUUGAGAAAACAUAAUGAUGAGAUAUUAAAGGAGAGCAUCUUAUCUUUUGCAGAAGUUGGUGGGUUUUCAGUGGGAUAGUGGAUCACCGUUGUCCAGAUCCAUAUUCAGCGAAUCUGUUCACGACUUCCCAUUC